rnacentral:rRNA from 1 species
UACGGAGGGUGCAAACGUUGCUCGGAAUCAUUGGGCGUAAAGCGCACGUAGGUGGUUUGUUAAGUCGGGUGUGAAAGCCCUGGGCUCAACCCAGGAAGUGCACUCGAAACUGGCAGACUUGAGUACUGAAGAGGGUCGCGGAAUUCCCGGUGUAGAGGUGAAAUUCGUAGAUAUCGGGAGGAACACCAGUGGCGAAGGCGGCGACCUGGGCAGAUACUGACACUGAGGUGCGAAAGCGUGGGGAUCAAACAGG